GUAACCACUUGGACAUGUUCGUCUGAUUACGAAAUAUAUAGCUUAAGCGAACUAAAUAUGAUAUUAUAAUAAGUUAUUGUACUCCACUUAUGUUCCUUAUGGACGACAUCUGAAAACUCUUGAUAAAACUAGCUGCUAGGCGGCUCAGAUGCAGAACCAGUCACGUGCUGAGAGACUCCAGUUUGCAAACAUUCCGCGCUGGGGAACAACCUUACUCAUCUGUCACGCACACGAUGGCUAAAAGUGGCAGGAGUCUUGAUGAACCAGAAGGGAUCCCUAGACAGGGCAGUGUUUUCAGCCAACAAGACCUGUGGGACAAUGCCUCCGUUGAGAUAGGCACUGUUAUGAGCUGGCUCGGUUACGGACCGGAGAUCAUACAGGCUCGGAGAGACGCAUACAGAGAGUAUGGCAGGCUGUGGACUGCACGGGAAUGUAGAGCGGGUGCGUUUAUUAUUAAGGGUAGCAAGGCUGAGGGGCUGACCCGCUUCCUGGAAGUGAUAGAGACAUGAUGUUUGUACGCAGUACUGUCAUUUGCAUAGAAGAUGGUGUUAAUGCUGAUAACUUUUCUAGAGAGAUAACCGUGUUUAGAUCAUACAGUCGUAUGAGUUAUCCCGGCCACUGUAGACUUCUACUAUAGAGACGCGGUACAACGAUUCACCCGAAAAUUAAAGAUGCGUUGUGUGAUGAUGGGUACGGCCAAGAACUCCUGAGCAGUGACUUAUAUGUACAUAACUGUUGGAAGGUUCUAUCAGCGGAAGGCGCAGUGCAGCAUGAUCGUGCGGGGCCGUCAAUGCCUUAUACAAUACACGGUACAUUUCACAACGACUUAGUAAAUGCAUUUCGCUAUUACUGCCCCGAAAUCCUGUCAAAAUGGGCCGCAAGACGUCGCCACUGGCCACCACCGGAAGUCGUUCAGCAAGUCGUAUCACUUGGGGCAUUUCUUUCGCCUGUUGGAUUUAAAGGUAGUGAAUAUCAACAUGUUGAAUGGAGAGUUUGUUUCAACGCCGGGGAGAUCGAACUAGUGCACAAUCUUAAUGAUACUCAAAUUAAAUUGUAUGUUUUGUUGAAAAUGGUGAAGAGCGAUGUAUUAAAACCACGUAAGAAAGAAGUUUCAUCGUACACAUUAAAAAACAUUGUAUUAUGGAUAGCGGAAAAUAAUCCUCAGUUCUUGUUUCAUGAAUGAAGUCUGUUGCACUGGUUACAUGAAGGAUUGGAUGCGCUAAGAGUUGCGUUAGUCACCCGAGAGCUGCAAUAUUAUAUGAUUACUGACAGAAAUAUGAUGGCCGCAUGUGGACUGGAAGAAGAACAACGAAGUACAUGGAUAACAACGAUUACAGAAAUGAUGGGUGAAGUUCCUGGGAUGAUCCUGAGAUUACCAAAGAUACGACAUGCACUUAUUGCACAUCCUGAACCAUUCCGAUGGUACAACGGGAGGAGAAUGGAGGUGGAGUUGCUGAGGCUCAUGAUUAUAAACAGAAGUAUGCUCUGCAGGGAUGAGAACGGGAAGCUUGACGAGACAGAUGCUAUUCUGCAGACAUUAAGUAGAUGCCAAAACAUGAUUGUAAUAGAGGUUUGCCUGAGGAUGAUAAUGGAAGGAGUCGAGUUAACAACAUGAUUGAUGUUUAUGAAGGAAUUUUGAUGUAAAACUUGUACGGUGAUAGAUUAACCAGUUACUAGGCAUGUAUAACACUCAUUUAUAAAUUGUGGGUACUUUAGUUUAACCCUUUGAAGUAACACAGAGCAUUGUUGAGAAGAAUGUGAUAAUUCAAUGACUUGACGGAAAUAUUAUUUAAAUUAAUUGAUGUUUGCUCGCAGACGUAGUUUGAAAUGUUUGAAAAUGUGAGCAAACUGUUAUACAAUUCUCGUGUUGACAGUCUGCCGUAAACUUUACCAGAACAGUAAUAUUUGCUUAAAGCCACACACCUUGAAGUGAAAUACAUGUUUAUCAAUACAAAUACUAGAUGCAAUUUGAAAGUGUGCAAAAUUGUCAUAUAUAGCCUAGUUAGCAAGUAAUUUAUUUAUUUAUUUAAAUUUAAAACCGAAAGUAGGAUUUCUAUACGUACACGUAACCACCAGAUAUAUUCUAUUUGGCAUAGAUAAAAUUAAAUCUAUAGCCUAGUUAGCAAGUAAUUUAUUAUUUUUCAAACGGUACCGCUUUGAAUUCGAAAGUAAGAUUUCUAGACGUAUACGUCAAUUUCAACAAACACGAUUAUGUUUUAAGUUUUAAAGCGCAAAAAGACGGAAUUUUACCUUGCAACCACCAGAUAUAUUCUAAUUGGAAUAGAUAAAAUAUAUUUCUUAUUUAUACUUAAAUUUACUUUCAUUUCAAGGUGUGUGGCAUUAACUUUAUUUUAAAAAACUUGCAAUCAUUUAGCUAACAAUAGUUUGCAAAAUAAAGUUAAAUGCUUGCCACAUUGUAUAUGAUCGUACACUAAUAUGCAUGUAUCGCCCUGAAACCAGCAGCAUAUCAUAGUAUGCAUAUGAAAAUUUGUAAAACUGGUAGUAUUUACUAGCAUUAUGUCGGCGUAUGUUGUUAUGCGACUUAUGUUUAUUUGUAUUAGAAAAUAAAAUGUAUUUUUAUUAUUUAUAUUUCCGUCUUUCAAGCUACAUUUUCACUUUGUUUGUGGUUGGUAUUGUUUACGCAUUUGUACUUAUUCAAUUUAUGUGUUAUUAGUAGUCCACUGGUACUACAAAACAGCGAAAAAAAGGAUACGCUAUUCUCAUUAAAACACAAAUUUGUAUUGUAUCUAUAGAUAUGUAUAUCUAUGUUUUAUUAUUGAUGUGUUGAUGCGGACAUAUUUCCACACAUGUUACACGUAAUGGUUGCAUUUUCGUUAAUCUAGUUUUACCAUUAUUCUAGUUUUUGCUCUAAGCGUAUGCAUGCUAUUGUUAGUUUACAUGUUUUAUAGCUUGAUUACCGUAUUGCUAACGUCAUGGGCGUUUUUUGUGUUAUGUAUUCUAUUAUUAUAUUGGCUUCCUUUUGCAUUUAUAUAGAACGGCAAGUUAUGAACAACGUUUUACAUGAUCUUGCCUUUGGGUUAAUGCUGAAAAAAUGUAUAUUUAUGAAGAUUUAUUUAUAAGUUUUGUUUAAAUGUCGCUUUGAUAUAACGGAUGGAAAAUAAAUACAUUGUAUUGUAUUUCCAAUAAAAUACAUGAAAUAUUAAAACCAAUAGUACUGUUGAUGUGAAUUCAUUGAUCGAAAUAAUGCCACAUCUUAUUGAUUAAUACACAUGUUGUUGAUUUGAGUGACUUAUGUCGUUGUUGGUUCAUUUAUUCAUACCAUAUUUAUUGAUAUUUUGACUUUUUCAUCAGCGAUAUGUUUGUAAUUAUCUGCGUUUCGAUAUGUAUUGAUAACUGUGUAUGUAUUUAACUGGUAUACGUGCCUAACAUUCAAUGUCAUAUUUGUUUUCGUUGUGAAUACAGUCAUGACGUUUUCUCUUGCUUUGAAUACAUUUUAAAAUGUGUUAAAUUAUGCUUCGGAAGUCUGGGGCUAUACUAAAACUAAGGAACUUGAAAGAAUCCAUUUGAAAUUUUGCAAACGAUUACUAAAGGUAAAACUUUACACAUGUAAUGCUUGUGUUUAUGGUGAGCUGGGUAGAUAUCCCAUGUAUAUACAUAGAUAUGUACGUGUAAUUAAAUAUUGGUUUAAGAUAUGUAGAUCUGAAAAUAUCAUUAUUAAAACCAUAUAUAAUUUGGCCGUCUCAGAUUAUCAUAAAAGCUGUCCUAAUAGGAUAUUUAAUGUUAAAAAAUGUUUGAUGACUUUGGUUUUAGUUAUGCAUUUGAUGAUAUAAAUACUAUUACUAUUGAGAUUAACUCAUUUGUAGAGGAAUUUAAACGGAGAGUUUAUGAUAACUUCACACAGGACUGGUAUAGAACCUUAAAUAAUAGUUCGAUGUUAGAUGUUUAUCAAAAUUUCAAAAUCAAUUUUGAAUAUGAGUCGUACUUAGACAUUUUACCAAAAAGUUUGAGAUACUUUUUUACCAGAUUAAGAUUGUCAGCCCAUCCACUGCAUAUUCAAACCGGUCGUUAUGCAAGAGACGUCGCUAGAUAUCAUCGUCACUGCAUGUGUUGCAAUUCGACCGAUAUUGAAGAUGAAUUUCAUUUUAUUUGCCCGGCGUUUAGAAACAUUAGAAAAAAUACAUAAAACCAUGUUAUUACAAAAGGCCAUCUAUGUAUAAAUAUUUAAGUUUACUGCAAUCGAAUAAUAAAAUAGAACUUAUAAAAGUAUGUCUCUUUGUUAAAGAAUUACUUAAUGUUCGAACAUCUAUUAUUAACGCAAUAAUACUUUAGAUGUUCAUCCUCUUUUCUUUGUUCUUUUUUUUCUGUCUUUGUUGUUUUUAUAUUUAAUUUACUUUGUUAGCUAAGUAAAUCAUUUGUAAAUACGUGUAAAAGUUUGU